UUGUAAAUUGUUAGUAGCACAUAAAAUUAUUAAAAUUGGUUUACUCACUGUGGGUUUGUACAUAUUAUAGGUUCUUUGGUACAACGAAAGUAAGAAUCUUUGGUACAACGGAAGUAAGAAUCUUUGAUACAACGGAAGUAAGAAAGGACACAGUCAUGUACAGUUCCACGUUUUAUACAGUUUCAAGGUAAUUUCUUUUUUAAUUAUCAAAUUCAAUAAGAAAUUAAUUUGUACAAUUAUAUAUAUGUAUAUACACAUACAAAAAUGUAUUCUUCAACACUUGCAAAAGUUCUUAUUUCUUAUUUGUGCGCAGAUUUAUUAACACAAGCUUUUUUGUUUGCACUUUGUUUACUAUGUUUCAUUAACGUCCUUUUUUUAUUAUAAUUUAAUCUUUUUUUUUACUUUUUUCUAAAUUAUGUUGCAUGAAAAAGAGAUGACAUGUUAAGUUAUUUAUAUGUAAAUACUAUGUGAAGUUUAGUUCAACUACAGUUUACAAGUGUUGUAUUUUAAUAGUACUUUUUUCAUUUUCAUAUUUCUGUACUUUUUCUUAUUUGUUGCAAUUGUCUGUUUUUAAUGAUAUCAUAUUGUUUGCAAAAAUUCAAAUAUUAAUUACAUAAAGUUAAGCAUCGUGAUAAUCAAUCGCACAAUCGCGUGCGUUGUAUAAUGACGAAUUUUAUGCAAAAUGUCGAGUUUUAUAUUAUAUGAUUCCUUUAGCAAACUAACCUAUUAAGACUUAAUAUUUUUUUAUUUUUAUGUAAAUAUUCAAUACAUUUCUUAUUCCUCAAACAUCGUAAUUUAUAAAAUUUGCUGGUAGCGCGUGCAUACAAUUGUUCGUUUCCUUUGGUUAUGAGCUUAUAUUUAUGAUAUUUUCUCAUAUAAUAUAUGGCAAUAUUUUCUAUAAUAUUUUCUUAUCUGCAUAUUUACUAUAUUUUCUUAUCUGUAUGUUCAUCUGUUUGCUUGAAACUAUUAUGUUUAUAAUAAAAUACAAAACAAUUAUUGUUUAGUAGAAUAAGAAUAAUAAAUAAAAGUAAUUAAUAAUAAUAAAAAUUGGUUCAUUGCUUUACUGAUAGGCUCAACAGCACAACACAGAAAAUGCGACAAAUGAAAAAAUUUCAUAAGUUGUCGCGUAGACAGAAAAAUCGUCGAUUAAAGCAGAUACAGAUUAAUGAAAAUUUCGUUCCAUGCACUAUUAAUAGUGUAAAUGAGGAACAAUGUAGUUCCUCCAGACAUUUUGAUCAGAAAACUAAUAAUCCUUUACUUGACCAAGAAAUCCCUAAUUACGUGUCUGAAUAUGUUCUUGAUCAUAUCAAUAAUGAUCAUAUCAAUAUCAAUAAUGAUUUUUCUGAAAAUAUGAUUACUAAUGUAACAAUUGAUCAAUCAAAUAUAGCAUAUAGUUCUACAUUUUGUAGUUCUUUGGAAAGCGAAUAUUUAUUGUAUAAUGAUAAGCAACGUUCACUCUAUAAGAAAUUAAUCCUUUGGGCUGAUAAAUAUAACGUACAACAAAAAAAUUUGUAAGACGUGAGUCUAUUCGACACGAGAAUUAUUUGUAUAACGCGCGCCAGUACGGCCUAUGACAGCACGGUCUAAUCGAUUUAAGGCGCAUGCGAGACGAAUAGUCCUAUCUGCGCAUGUAUAUCGAUCGUCGAUCGAUAGUAAUAAAAGGAGCGUAAUCGCCUGCCACGUCCUCUUUCGUUUCGGGGUCCUGAGACGACAACAUCAUUCUCAGCAAUUCUACAUCAACGAAAUAUCAGCCAUUUUCGGACAGCCAUUUGGACUCUAUUCCAUCGGAAUAUCGGGAUUGUGACGAGACUCGCAACGAGUAUCAUAAAUGACGCUGUAUCCUGGACAGGAGUGGACUUGGUUGAUCACCGAUUGAACAGCACGCUCUCAGCAAAUACGAGAGAUCAAUUUCCGAGUCAAAGGACCCUGAAGCAGGUGAAAGAGCCAACGAGGGAUCAAGCGCUCCGUUCUAUUCGAUAACUCAGAUGAGUAUUUCUAUGAAUUGAAACAUAAUUUCCGCGCGUUUAUGUAUUGAACAAUGACUCGAUUGUUAAUAAGAUUUUCGCACUUUUAUUUUGAAUAAUAAUACGACUUGUUCGAUGAUUUCCUCGAUUACCUGUAUUAUAUAACCGAAAUAUCAUUAUUCUCAACUGCUCAUGGAAUUUGAAUAUGUUUAUUUGAAGCGGAUAAUCGUUCGUCACCAUUCUCUUGUUCGUAUCUCGAGCCCCGAAUUUUAUAGUCAAAGUAACGAAAAGAAUACAUAGUUACAAGUUUAACUUCCUUACUUAAAAUAUUGAAAAAUGAAGGACACGAUAAUCUUCCUAAUGAUGGUAGAACAUUAAGAAAUACUCCACGUUAUACAAUAAUUUACAAAAGGUCAGGUGGAGAGUAUUAUCAUUAUGGAUUGCAAAACGGAAUAAUUGAUCAAUUAAAGCAAUUCAAUAUGUCAAUUAAGAAUAAUAUUAUUUACAUUAAUGUUAAUAUUGAUGGGCUUCCUAUUGCAAAAAGUUCUAAAAGUCAGUUAUGGCCUAUCUUAGCUCAAAUCGUUUCCGAAAAUUCUGUACCUUUUCUUGUCGGCGUAUAUCAUGGAUAUAAAAAGCCAACUACAGUUAAGAAUUUUUUACAAGAUUUUGUCACAGAGUUGAAGCAAUUAAGUACAGUUGGUUUUACAUAUGAAUAUAAUGUAUAUUAUAUUCAAAUUAGAGCUGUCAUAUGUGAUAGCCCUGCACGAUCAUUUGUAACGUGUACAAAGAUUCAUAAUGGUUAUUUUGGAUGCAGUAAAUGUUUUAUAGAAGGAGAUUAUGGUAAUGGUCGAAUGCUUUUUCUUGAUCAUAAUUGUUCUUUGCGAACCGAUGAAUCGUUUCUUCUUCGAAAAAACCCAGAACAUCAUACUUGUAGGAUGGUUGAGUAAGACACGGUUUUGGGAUAUAAAGAUACUGUAUUUCAUACAGUGUGAAUCGUAGCUCGGUCGAAGAGAGACUGACUAAUACGCUCGGUUUCUUUAUAAAAACGGCGGAAUUACAAUCCGUCGCCAAUUCGGCGGCUCGUCUGAUAUUCGAGCAAAGCUAUGCCGCGCUGGCCGGUAUCGUUUGUUAUUAUAUCGGCGGCGUUCGAAUUCUUUUUAUCGCUUACAUCAAACGCCACGGUGUCUUAAACUCUCACAUACUGGAAUAUCUGUUUUUGAACAAGUUCCGUUGCCAAUGGUUACUACUUUCCCUCUUGAUUACAUGCAUUUGGUAUUUCUCGGUCAAAUGAAAAAAUUAUUGAUGUUAUGGUUAAGAGGACCUACUCGAAUUAAGUGUCGAUUAUCCAGUGAGCAAAUAAAACAUUUAAUUUCAGAUAUGCUUGUUUUAAAGAAAUAUGUUUGUUCCGAAUUUGCGAGAGUACCACCUACUGUUGAAGAAUUGGAUAGAUGGAAAGCCACCGAAUUUCGAAUUUUUCUAUUAUAUCUCGGUCCUAUUUUACUGUAUAAAUAUUUCCCAUACGAUUAUUUGCAACAUUUUACUGCAUUUCAUUGUGCAAUUAGAAUAUUAUGUCAUCCCCAGGAUUAUUUACAAAAUAAUCAGUAUGCAAAAGAACUUUUAUUUUAUUUUGUUCAACAUUAUGAAACUAUAUGGUAUAGAUAAUAUGAUUUAUACAGUACAUAAUUUAAUACAUUUAAGUGAUAAUGCAAAACGAUUUGGACCAUUGGAUAGUUUUAGUACUUUUCCUUUCGAGAAUCAUUUGUACAGUUUAAAGAAAUUGUUCAGAAAGCAUGAGAAACCUUUGGCACAAGUACAUCGUCGAAUAAUUGAAAAGAAUAUGGCAAAUAAAUAUAAGGAAAAUAAAAAUGUAAUGUUGAAAUAUCCAAUAUUAAUGUCACAAAACAAGAAUCGUAUUCCAUUUAGAUGUUCUGAAUUUUAUGAUUCAUUAAAAUUCCGUAAUUUUACAUUAUCCUGUUCUUUACAAGCAAAUCGUUACUACUAUUUAAAAAAUAAUAAAGUUUUCAUGAUUCAUUAUAUAGGAUUGCAAAAUGCAAAUCCUGUCAUAAUUGGUCAAGAAUUUAAAAAUUAUUCUUCCCUCAAUUUUUAUCCAUGUAAUUCGCAACAUCUGAAUAUUUUUGUAGUCAGUAAUGACUUAAGUGAUGUUAGUCCAGACUCCACGGUCCCUUGCUUUCGUAAGAAAUAGAUAAUAGAGUUACAUUCGUUUAGUAAUUACUGCGUGCUAUUUAUCACUCACGCAUUAUUGAGCCAAGACACUCAUGGUUGUUGCACAAUUUCAAUUGAAUUUUAUUUUUUCCGACACACGAUAUCAAGCGGGAACCUUACGGGAACCGUAAGGCACGCAGUACAUGUGCCCGUCGCGUGAUCAUUAAACAAACAUUUCUUGCAGCAACCCUGAACGUUAGCGCAUCAUCUACCUUAUCACCACGACUGUUGGGUCACCUUGGUCGUGAACACGUGCAUUUCGUCAUCAUGACCAUGAUCACGCUCUCGGCCACUUAUCAAGGUCCAAAGGUGGCCCUUCGAUUUUAGCUAUACGUGUCCUCCCGUUACCUAACUUCGGGCGUUUUUCUUCAUCGAAUGUUCUAGAAGAAUCCCCUCCUACACGAUUUUUCCUAUCUUAUAAAAAGGGCAGAGAAACCGCCCUGAACCAUUCUUCAGUUUUCAAUCAUAACGACCAGACGCAUCAGUCUUCAUUUAAUAUUUCGAGAGUAGUUUUUUUGUCAUUGGUUUAAAAUCAGAGUCAGUGAAGUUCCAACAUCAGCCCAAUCUCAUCGUUGAAUUGGAAACAGCUCUGUGCAGCGCCUUAGUCAGCACAUUUUCAUUGAAUUGGAGCAGCUUCAGUGCAUCGCACUUUCACUCUCGAUUUGCAACAUCUGUUGGACAUUUUAAAAGUAAAUUUUUUUUUUAAUUGAUUAUUUUUAUUUGUCCUUUUUGUGCCUUUUGCGACUGGUUGUCAGUUUUAUUUUUGCCUCUUCCUUUGUUUUUUUUUCUUCCCUUUUAAUUACACAUUGCCACUCUUUGACUCAUCUAGUGCCACCCUGCGAAAUUAAUAUUCCGCUCCAUCGCCUAUCACCGCCGCAAUUAACACCAGAAGUGACCUUAGAUGAGGAGGUCGAAGAGUUUUUGCAAGAGAUAGAGGCCUUCUUGACGGAUUCCGACAUAUUCCCUCCACCUUCAUCUUCGUCCUAUUCACUUACCCCCGUUGGAUGAAUUAUCUCAACACUCCCCCGCACAUAAUAUUUCGCGGUCUUCUUCUCCUAUCCCGUUAGAGGAUAUUGAAGCCUUUGCUGACCAUCCCAGUCAGAAUUUAUCCCCUACCGAUUUUCCACUCUUUUCACAUCUUCCACCUUUUUCUUCUGAUGCACCAUCAACCCUUUCAUCACCAUUAACGUACACUGCAGACGCCGAAGAGUCCCAGUUAACUGAUAAUUAAUCUAAGUAUCAAUUUUUAUAGUUAUAUUUGUAUAACCUUUCGUUUCAAUUAUGUAUAAAUUCCGAGAGUUAAGAGUAUAAUUUGCGGUUAUCAAAUCAUUAUUCGACUGUUUGAAUAAAGUCAUUUUUUAAUUUUUUAUGUUAAUUCAAGCUUAAUUUAUUUACUCCUUUCUUCCCUCAAUUAAUCGCACGAGGUCCUAUCCCAUGUAAUAGGGAUUCGAUUCCCUUACAUAAAAAGGGCCAACGAGCAGACUUUUAUUCGGAACAAGUGUAAGAGUGGUUUCGGCCGUUGACCUUUUUCUAGAAUUAACUUUGUCGGCUCGACUCGCGUUCUUACGUGAGAGGUACGUGGUUUGGACGUAACAGUGAUUUAAAAUGUUUUUCUGUGAACGAAAUUGUCAGAAAAGCUGUACUGCUUCCUUAUGAAACAAACCAUUUUUGUGUUUUCCCAGUUCUUCAUUCAGAUAUAUAAAUAACAGGUAUAUAAAUUAAUGACGCACAAAAUUGUAAAUCUUAAUUUUUUAUAUUUCUGUUGUAAUUUGGCACUCUUCUUUUAUACAGAUGUUUUACGUUGCCAAUGGCAACGAUUGGCAAUGACUGGUGUUCAGUUGUACCACAAUCAUGGGUAGAUAUUAACAAGAAAUUAUGUAUGUGGCCAUCACAUGGUAUUAAUGUAUCAAAGGCAAUAAAAAAGUCAUUACCUCCACAAGCUUCAUGGGAAUCCGUCUCAUAUAAAUAUAUCUUAGGACCAUAUGAUUCAUUCGAACAGGCUAAAAGCAAAGAGAAAGAUGCGCAAUUUGUAUCGUCAGAUGAUGCAAAAAUUAACGCUCUUCAAAAUAAAAAA